rnacentral:tRNA from 2 species
UGCUGGUUGACCGCAUUUACCGAACACACCCACUUUCAGGCUCAUAACCUGAAGGUCGCAGGUUCAAAUCCUGCCCCCGCAACCA